rnacentral:rRNA from 1 species
UACAGAGGUCCCAAGCGUUGUUCGGAUUCACUGGGCGUAAAGGGUGCGUAGGCGGUCGGGUAAGUCUGACGUGAAAUCUUCAAGCUCAACUUGGAAACUGCGUCGGAUACUAUUCGGCUAGAGGAAUGGAGGGGAGACUGGAAUACUUGGUGUAGCAGUGAAAUGCGUAGAUAUCAAGUGGAACACCAGUGGCGAAGGCGGCUCACUGGUCCGGUACUGACGCUGAGGUGCGAAAGCGUGGGGAGCAAACAGG